rnacentral:misc_RNA from 1 species
UUUUAUUAAAGUUGCGUUUGAUUACACUCGUGCUUGUUUUAGCCCGGAUGCUCAAUAUGCUUUAUGUGGGUCACAUGACAACAAUAUUUAUGUAUGGAAUACACGCACAAACCAACUCGAUAAAGUUCUUAAGGAACAUAAGAGCGCUGUUAUUGCAACAGCAUGGCAUCCGCAUGGAUCUAGUAUUUUAUCAAGCGACAAAAAUAAGCACGUUAUUUUGUGGAAUGACUUUUGAAAAUGAUUUUCAAAUACGGUUUGGAGUGCUUUGAGAAUCCAAAAGCAACGUUGUCAGUUAAAUAGUUCCCGCUUUAGAUCUAAUAUGGCGCACUUUGGUUUAAUAUCAAUGUAGAUUCUUAUUGUUUUUGUGGUGUGCAUCUGCUGGUGUUAAUCGUUUUUGUUAAAACAGUUUUAUAUCUUAAAUACUAUUCCUGUUGGCUAUAUACCCUCAAGUUGUUGCUAUUAACAUCAAUGUGUAUUGUUUGAAUGGAUAUUUAGUAAAUAAAUAGAGUAUAAAUGGUAUUAAAAGUAACCGAGUUUAGCAAAAAAACUAGAAAUUGAAUUACGAUCAGAGAUCGUAAUUAAACUCUUUGUGUAUGAUCAAUAUGAUAAAAAAAAACUUUAAAACUUUUGAAAAGGGCUAGAUAAUUUUUGCUAUUAGUAAAUGUUUUAACUUUUUAUAUUUAGCAAAAAAGUUUUAUAUUAUGUUCGCUAAGCUCAUACAUAAAAUCAAAUUAAUUGGUUGUUAGAAACGUUUACGGUAUGCCAUCUUCAUUAUGUACGAGAGAUUUCACGUAGCUGGCAGAUUAUACGUACGAAUCGGAUUUCUGUAUUUCUUGAAGCCUCAAGAGAAUUUUAUUAAACUUAUUUUUAAUCUUUUUGACAAAUUUUAUGAAUAAUUACUGUUUAAUAUUUUGUAUAUUAGUAUACAGAACUUUUCGUUUUGAUAUUUAUAUAGAGUAUAAUUGUAUGAUAUGAAAUCUCUAAGAAUUAUAUCCAAUUUUGUAUUGAAA